rnacentral:rRNA from 1 species
CCUACGGGUGGCAGCAGUGGGGAAUAUUGGUCAAUGGGCGCAAGCCUGACCCAGCAACGCCGCGUGAAGGAAGAAGGCUUUCGGGUUGUAAACUUCUUUUGUCAGGGACGCAGCAAGUGACGGUACCUGACGAAUAAGCCUCGGCUAACUACGUGCCAGGAGCCGCGGUAAUACGUAGGGGGCAAGCGUUAUCCGGAUUUAUUGGGUGUAAAGGGCGUGUAGGCGGGAAUGCAAGUCAGAUGUGAAAACUAUGGGCUCAACCCAUAGCGUGCAUUUGAAACUGUAUUUCUUGAGUGCUGGAGAGGCAAUCGGAAUUCGGUGUGUAGCGGUGAAAUGCGUAGAUAUACGGAGGAACACCAGUGGCGAAGGCAGAUUGCUGGACAGUAACUGACGCUGAGGCGCGAAAGCGUGGGGAGCAAACAGGAUUAGAUACCCGGGUAGUC